GUUUCUGUCUUCAACAAGGAAUCCCCAGGUUCCUGCACGGAGGACUGUACUUGAGGCUACUGGUGUAGCAGAAAGACAGGCCAAAACCGUGAAACAGAAACCCAGCUGCCAGAAAGUUGGAGGAGGCAGCCCAGCCGUGGAGCAGGAGAAAGAGAAAACAGGCUUGGGGAACAGCUAGCCAUAUUCUGUCACAGUCACAAGGAGAAAGAGCCCUGGCCUGGCCUACAUAUUCUACAACUUCCUGAAUCUUUGCUCUGAAAUGAAGAGGUUUGGAUGGCUGGUCUGGGAAUUCAUCUCGCUUGCAGUGAAGCUCCUUGGGGUAUUCGAAACUAGGAGGUUCUAAGGAGUUGAUGCUAAUUGUUCUCUAAGGGUCUUGCUGGUAACUCUCUGGAGAGCUAAAACUCACUAUGAAGACCAGGAUGGCCUUUAACUCGCAGAGAUCUGCCAUUCUCCUUCUCGUUUCUGGGUAGUUGAUGUGUUCGGAGGCAUUUCUCGUAAAGACCAAAUCUGGCCAGAUUCAAAUGACUGGCCUUCAGCUCCACAAACUGGGAACAAUAAUGUCGGCUGGAUAUGGCUUGUCACACUCUGUUUCUAUUCGUGGACUUGUGAGUGAUUUCUGGGAAACGCUUGUUAUAAGAUGCUCAGCAGCGAGGAUGCAGAGGUGAGCCAAAGCGGUUCAGGGCUGCCUGAUGAUGGAUUUGACAGGCCAGAAUGAAACAAGAUCAGUCUGUAAACAGAGUCUUUCCUACCCAGAGAUUCGAUGUUGCCUUGCUCUGUCACUGGCUGGGCAUCAUUUAUUUACCAAGAGUCAUGCAGACACCAGACGCCCAGAGAUAAAUAACACCCCAGCCCCUGGCAUCCAUAUGACCAAGGAGUCUGGAAUGUUCUGGGGAAGCUCCACCUGAGCUCCUAGCACCCAUAUACCCAAAUAGUCUGGAAUGUUAUGGUGGAAGCCCCACCUCUCUCUCCCCAGACUCCGCCCCCUCAGAAAGUCCGCCAAACAAGACUCCUCCUCCCACCUGCUCAAGACUACUUCCAUUGGGUAUUUAAACUGCCUCCCAGAAAACAGACGCUCAGUUUCUCAGUCUCUCUUCCUCUUGGGAUGGGGAGCAGGGGUGUUAGUAUUCAAGCAUCUGUUCUGGCCUGUCCUUGGGGUUCUGACAGGAUACGACCUCAGUUGCAGCCACUAAGAUCACCAUCUGUGCAUAUUCACAAUGUUUCCUUUUAAAAGGGCCCUGUCCAACUCUCUCUCCUCUUCUUUUCCCCUUCCCUCUCUCCCCUCCCUCCCACCUCU